CGAUUUUGAUCCUGGCUCAGAACGAACGCUGGCGGCAGGCCUAACACAUGCAAGUCGAGCGCCCUGCUUGCAGUGCAGCGGCGGACGGGUGAGUAACGCGUGGGAACGUGCCUUUUAGUUCAGGAUAGCCACUGGAAACGGUGAGUAAUACUGGAUACGCCCUAAGGGGGAAAGAUUUAUCGCUAAAAGAUCGGCCCGCGUUGGAUUAGCUAGUUGGUGGGGUAAUGGCCUACCAAGGCGACGAUCUAUAGCUGGUCUGAGAGGAUGAUCAGCCACACUGGGACUGAGACACGGCCCAGACUCCUACGGGAGGCAGCAGUGGGGAAUAUUGGACAAUGGGGGCAACCCUGAUCCAGCCAUGCCGCGUGAGUGAAGAAGGCCCUAGGGUUGUAAAGCUCUUUCAGGUGUGAGGAUGAUGACAGUAGCACCAGAAGAAGCCCCGGCUAACUUCGUGCCAGCAGCCGCGGUAAUACGAAGGGGGCUAGCGUUGUUCGGAAUUACUGGGCGUUAAGGGCGUGUAGGCGGAUGAUCAAGCUAGGGGUGAAAGCCC
rnacentral:rRNA from 1 species